UAACACUGUUAGGUUUGUCUCAUUUCGUUGACCUACAGAGACUGACAAGGUUUGUUUUCAACCCGCACCCCCCAAACAGCAUAAACCUUUUAACUAUAUUAUGUUUUUAGAUAGGUGUUCAGUUAACUCAACAGAGCUUAGCUUUAACUUGUUUGGCAAAAUCUUGUGAUAUAUAACUACCUCCUACAUGAAAGAACAUUUUGUAUCAAAGAACAGAAGUGUACUUCGUACCAGGCAACAGCCUCCAUACACUUGCUGGGAUCAGUAUAUUUUAUAAAUGGUACGAUUUGUCAUCCUAUAUAAUGUUUUGCUUGAAAGGUACAAAGAAAAAAACAUGUAACUAAUGUUUAAAAAAUAUCUGGCAGGGAAGGAAGAAUAUUCCAUGUCUUUGUAUAGGUAUAUUUUGGUUAUUAAGAUGUGUGUUCUCUAACAUCAGUUGUUUUAAGUGUUAAACUAUCAGAUUGAUUAGCAUUGCUUCAGACCUGAGGAAGAGAGGAAAGCUCUC